rnacentral:lncRNA from 1 species
AUUUUUGGCAAAAUUGUUGCACAUACCAUAUUCCAAUGUUUGUGAUGUGACCAUUGCAUAUGGCUGUCAAAAACGUCAAGAUUAGUUAGAUUAUUGUUUUCUAAAACAUUGCACGGCUCGUGAUUUUAGAACUAUUUUUGUGCUUUAACCCAUUGAGUGGCAGCACUCUCCACUUGACAAGUAAAAUCCUGUGGCGUUAGAUAGUAAAAUACUAAAGUAGGGUGCAUCGGGGCACAAUGCAACUUAAGUAAAGGGUUAACCAAAACAAAGUUCAUAAAAAAAUUUUUCACACAGUACCGGUACCAUGCCUGUUUGUAUUUUGAAGUUCCCCGAGUACAGCAUCUGAUGCACAAGACUUUGCUCUUGAUGAGUAAAAUGAUCUGAUAUCAGACAUUUGAGUUCCUUUGCAGCUUAAGGAGUUAAUCCUAUUUAUCUUGGAGAACAGCAAUUCAACUAUCUGGCUGGCUUGACAAAUAAAAUUAAGCAGGGGGUGCACUGGCAGUUAAUGGGUAACUAGACACUUGGGCAGUCUCAUUAUGAAGCAUAAAAUCGUCUGGCGUUGGACAGUAAAAUACUCAAGUAGAGCAUGCAUCAGGGCACAGUACAACCUAACGGUUUAAUUUGGGGGGUUUUUGUAGCAAAAUGGUUUAAGUUUUAUAUCUGAAUUAAUUAUUGUUUUUUUGCUUUGUUUUACAGAUCAUUACUGAACAUGCUGAUGAAAUAUUGAUUUAUAAAAUAUCAUGUUACCAAGAUGACAUGCCUUGAAGAGCAAUACAGGAGGGAAUACCUCUAUUUCUAAUCAAAUUACAACAACACACCAAAGACAGUAGUUAUGAUCACGAAGCUAUGAAUUUAAAGAAAAUGUACCAAACGACAAAGACGAUGAUGAAAUUGGAUGCCUCGGAUGAAAUGAAAGGAUUGAUCAAAUGUCCAUGGUCAGCAGUGGAUAUUUGUGACUAUAAUAAAUGGAUACAAAGAAACUAUGAUGGAUAAAUAUGGCCCCGUAAUGGAUAUUCAGUUAAUGGACAUACAAAGGUCACAGAAAUGUCCACUCUCAGGUAUUGUUCUUUCUUGUUUGCCUGCGAACAGGCUGUAGAUACUUGUAUCCAGGCCAUCCAUUGUUUGUUUUGUUGUUCUGGGUACAAUGAAAUCCGGCAUAAAUCCUGGCGGUCUAAAUGUUCAGUAUAUUUACACAUUCGAUCUAUUUUCUGUUCAGUAGACUUUGAUAGCUUGAACGAAAGUUUAUAACGAUGAUUUUCUUUGCAAAAACUGUACUUUCGAAAUUCGUCAGCUUCUGAAUUUGAAAACCGAUCUGAAAAAAAAAGAGGGA